GAUGAACGCUAGCUACAGGCUUAACACAUGCAAGUCGAGGGGAAACGAUAGAGAAAGCUUGCUUUUUCUAGGCGUCGACCGGCGCACGGGUGAGUAACGCGUAUCCAACCUGCCCAUCACUUGGGGAUAACCUUGCGAAAGUAAGACUAAUACCCAAUGACGUCUCUAGAAGACAUCUGAAAGAGAUUAAAGAUUUAUCGGUGAUGGAUGGGGAUGCGUCUGAUUAGCUGGUUGGUGAGGUAACGGCCCACCAAGGCGACGAUCAGUAGCCGGCCUGAGAGGGUGAACGGCCACAUUGGGACUGAGACACGGCCCAAACUCCUACGGGAGGCAGCAGUGGGGAAUAUUGCACAAUGGGGGAAACCCUGAUGCAGCAACGCCGCGUGAGUGAAGAAGGUCUUCGGAUUGUAAACUCCUGUUGUUGAGGAAGAUAAUGACGGUACUCAACAAGGAAGUGACGGCUAACUACGGUG
rnacentral:rRNA from 1 species